ensembl:lncRNA
GGGGUGUACAUGGGUUGGAGUGUGUUCCCCCCCCCCAGUGGGCCAUGUGUGGAUGAGGCUUGGCUCUUGGCUUGACGUGUGAAUGGAUUAUUGGAUUUCAUUUUUGGAAGGAAGGAGCAAUUAGUUGAUGAUUAUUAUUAUUAUUAUUUUUUUUUAUACUGCUCCUUGUGAUAUUUGUCUGAAAGAAAUGCCUAAAGCGGUCCAACAGGAUAGUGGUUACAAAGCAGCGGCGUCAACCUCGCUUGCUUUGCAGAUUCCAUUCCUUCUGCCAUUCCGAUGCAGAGGGCCAUUCCUAUCCGAGAGAGCUCCGAUAAAUGCGCACGAUUCCUCCUAGAUAUUGAUUUGCUUUGACACUGCAGUGCUGUCCAUGUGACUUUGUUGGCGCUACACUGCAAAUGACAACAACAACAACAACAACAACAACAACAAAAGCAACAGCACUAAAGAGAGCCGUAGCAGCGUGUGGUUGUCCAUCCAGGCUCUAGUUCGUCGACGGUUGUUAAGGUGCUUAGAUAAGCACUUUAUUGGAGUUCUGAUUCAGGUUGUUGUGUCUUUAAGAGACGCCGCAACCUUUUAGGACAGAUAAGCAACUUAGCAACAGCCAAGAACACUAUUUAACCUUGAACCAGCGCCCUACUUACUCGGUGACGGCCCAGUGUUGAUGCUGUGGAUCUCUGUUAAUGUUCCACUCUCAUAGACAGGCUUCAAGCCCGGGGUCUGAGAUCAGCUAGGCUUCUGUGUCUCCAGCUCACUGGACGGCUGCAACAUGAACCGGGCUGCGAUCAAUCAGACUUGCCAGUCUGUAGGGGGGAAACAGCUCAGACUCAGGGCCGCUGCAGACACACUCAGAGGUUAUCAGCCUGCAGACUGAUCGCUGGGUAGGGACGUCGAUAGCUGGCACCAAACACGCACCUCAUUACCGAGGGGUUGGGAUUGUGUUCAAUGUUGUGUCGUGUUUACGUUCACCUGUGUUUCGGCGGUGACUUGUGUUCAGGAAUGGAUCUAACGGUGGUGAGGGUGUUUGACUCCCAGGAAAACGGUACUGGGUUCGAUUCCCAGUGUCCUUGUUCCUGUGAAUGACACACAUCUGAGUUCACUGUAAGUCGCUUUGAAAAAUUAAAAACGUCUGAAUCUAAAUAACCAGAGUUGCAGUUCUCUGGUUCCCAUCAUGUCCACUCGGCCCCCAUUGGUUCAGAGGUCAAAGGAAGAAAUCCCCUUACGCGACUGUUUUUACAGAAAGAAGAAGUAAAAAAACGGAAGCAAGUCCUCUCCUGUGGGAGGAAAACAUGAAAGGUCCCAAAUAUCCCCUCUCUGAAUAAUGAAUCCACCUGCUUGCCCGCCUCCAGUCAAGGAUCAAGGAUGACCCCCAUGUCUUAAACACCUGGUGUUGGAAAUCCUGAAGCUAAACCCAAUAAUCGAACAAACCGCCGUUUGCAGAGUCAGCUGAAACACUCCUCGUGCUCUUGUUGUGUAACUCGUCAGUUAUGUGAGAGACAUUUUACCAGCGCCGGCAAUGUAUGGUAUUUGAGUUGAGUGACCUUUGUAGAAAGGGAAUGGGCUUUCAAAGGUUCUAGUUUUACUGUAGGUCAUGGGGAGGUAAUACCCCUUCCUUAGGCACAUCUGCACAUCCAGGACUCAUCUGUCAUUACUUUGUUGGAGACACCAGGGCCAUGACACCCUCAGGCUACACCUUAAGGCUACACCUUUAUGCUACGUCUUUAGGCUGCACCUUAACGGCAACACCUUUAGGCUACACCUUUAGGCUACACCUUCAGGCUACAGAUUCAGGCUACAACUUCAGGCUAUUUCUAUAGUCUAUGCCUGGGUCCGGUAGAGAUGUAGUCUUUCUGUUUUCACUGUUUAACCGACAGGUCAUCAAGGAGCAGGUAGGGGUUGGACAGUGAAUACAGAGACAGGUCAUCAAGGAGCAGGUAGGGGUUAGACAGUGAAUACAGAGACAAGUCAUUAAGGAGCAGGUAGGGGUUAGACAGUGAAUACAGAGACAGGUCAUCAAGGAGCAGGUAGGGGUUAGACAGUGAAUACAGAGACAAGUCAUUAAGGAGCAGGUAGGGGUUAGACAGUGAAUACAGUGACAGGUCAUCAAGGAGCAGGUAGGGGUUAGAUAGUGAAUGCAGAGACAGAACAUCAAGGAGCUGGUUGGGGUCAGACAUCCUGCUUAAAGGAUACCUGAAAGGCUGUGGACAGUGGGAUGGAACACAAAACCUUUUUGAAAGCCCUAGUUACAACACUGUCCUGACGCAUAAGGUGAAUAUUGUUUUUUUUUCUCACCAAGCAAUCUGUGUGAAUGGAUGAAGGAAUGAAUGAACGUAACGCGGACAGACCAUAAUGACCAGCCUGCUCCAUAAAAGAUUUCAGGGUUUCCCUUUUUUCUGAAAUACUUACUGUUAGUGUGUACUUUAGCUUUUGUGACGCAGGGUGACUCAUGCUGUUGCCUAGCAACGUUAUGGUUGAGGGUUUGCCAACCGGUCGCCCCAGUGCGUGCCUCCAACAAAACCUCAAGCACAACUGAGCAGCCUGUGGGCACUUAGGGCUUGAGAGGAUAAAGAUUGAGAAUAACUAUAAUAAUAUUUGCCACUUCUUAGUGCUUGGCAACUGUACUGUUUGUUUGGCAUUUCUGAGAUGUUUUAAACUGUCUUGGGAGGGACUUAAGGGAGGAGAUCAGGAGGGUUUGAGUCAUUCUGUGCUGACCGUGUAGGAUGAGGCUGGGGCUGGGGCUGUGCAGUUUUAGGCCUGGGCACUAGAGAGCAGCAGUCCAAGACAGAAGGCAGUGAGUGGGUUUCAAUUCACUUGAAACUAUCCAUCUUCAUUCUCAGAGAGUCAUAGUUGUAUUAAUGGACCAAGAACUGAGAAUGAAUGAUUAUUUUGCAAUUUUUUCCCAACUUCUGUAAAAAUGUUGGGGAAAUAAUAAUGUAAUGUAAUGCAGUUCUAUUUCCCUUGCUACUUGUAAACAGGUGUGAAUCUCCUUAGUCCUUACACACCUGUGUGUAUCAAGAAGCAAAACCGUCCCUUUAACUGUCCUACCCAUUAGUGUUUUAACCCGGCCCCACGUGGAGGUACAAGGUACAUGAAGGGGCUUCCUCCCUUUGGUCCCGUCUGAUUCCCCUCCUUUGUUCUGAGUGAGUGUAAGCCAUGAAGUCAGAGUAAUGACGGUGUUAGCAUCAGCGCUAGGGGGCUUGUAGUCUCUCUUGUAGUCUCUCGCCCUUCUGAGGGCUAGCUGGCAACGCGCUACCUCACGGGGCCCCAGGGUGAACAGUGGAAGACAAAAGCAACAAGGCCCUUUGCUUCAGGAUGAGCCACGAGCCAGGAUUUACUGCCCAUAGCAAUUAGAGGGGGAGAGAGAGAGAGAGAGAGAGAGAGAGAGAGAGAGAGAGAGAGAGAGAGAGAGAGAGAGAGAGAGAGAGAGAGAGAGAGAGAGAGGGGGAG